GACGAACGCUGGCGGCGUGCCUAAUACAUGCAAGUCGAGCGGACUGAUUAAGAGCUUGCUCUUAUGACGUUAGCGGCGGACGGGUGAGUAACACGUGGGCAACCUGCCCUGUAGAUCGGGAUAACACCGAGAAAUCGGUGCUAAUACCGGGUAAUAUCUGAGAUCACAUGAUCUUAGGUUAAAAGAUGGCUCCGGCUAUCACUACAGGAUGUGCCCGCGGCGCAUUAGCUAGUUGGUAAGGUAAUGGCUUACCAAGGCGACGAUGCGUAGCCGACCUGAGAGGGUGAUCGGCCACACUGGGACUGAGACACGGCCCAGACUCCUACGGGAGGCAGCAGUAGGGAAUCUUCCGCAAUGGACGAAAGUCUGACGGAGCAACGCCGCGUGAGUGAUGAAGGGUUUCGGCUCGUAAAGCUCUGUUGUUAGGGAAGAAACAGUACCGAACGAACUAGGUCGGUACCUUGACGGUACCUAAACAGAAAGCCACGGCUAACUACGUG
rnacentral:rRNA from 1 species